rnacentral:rRNA from 1 species
UACGGGGGGGGGCAAGCGUUGUUCGGAAUUACUGGGCGUAAAGGGCUCGUAGGCGGCCAACUAAGUCAGACGUGAAAUCCCUCGGCUUAACCGGGGAACUGCGUCUGAUACUGGAUGGCUAGAGGUUGGGAGAGGGAUGCGGAAUUCCAGGUGUAGCGGUGAAAUGCGUAGAUAUCUGGAGGAACACCGGUGGCGAAGGCGGCAUCCUGGACCAAUUCUGACGCUGAGGGAGCGAAAAGCCAGGGGAGCAAACGGG